CCUUUAAGUAUGGACGUGGAGUCUCACAGGCUACUUAAUGUUUACGUUUUCAUAGUUUCGCCUAUUUCCCCUCGCUCUCCGCGAUUGAGCGGCUCAGUAGCUUUGGUUUUAGUUGCCAAGCUGCCAACGAGGGAGGAGGUUGCGUCGUCCGGUGAAUAUCACAUUCUGUAGUACAAAAUGUCAGAAAUCAAUAAUGCCGGUACUUCUAAAUCAAAACGACCGUCUACGGGUUGUGUUAAAAAAUUUCGUGUCGUGAUGAGGCUGACAAAAAAUGUUCGGUUUACUCCAGUAGCCGUCGAACAAGGAGAUGGCCCAUGGUGUUGCUAUAUCGUGUCCUAGACUUGAGUGCCAUGAAGCUGUGGAAAGAGGAGCUUUUCUAAAAAAACUAGCAUGUGUGCUUGUAGUGCCUCAUGUGCAAAGACGUGUUAUAAAUACACGUUUGCCAAGAGAACUGAGGUUUACUAUGAAUCGCGUUUUAGGUGAUGAUAUGGUUACAGAAGGUGUCCAGGAUCAAGAAACCAUUCAAGGGUCCAGAAGAGCAUGUAGAAUCUGUCCCGCGAAAAAACAUAGGAUGACUAUCUAUGUUUGUGUUGGGUGCAAGAAACCUGUGUGUCUCCAAUGUUCCAGACCUUUGUGCACUGACUGCCAAUAAAUUAGCGUUAUUAGACUGUUGUCAAUAUUUUUUGUAUUAGGUACCUGAAGUAGGUGUUUUGUGUUUUCGGUUCCUUGUUUAUUAUA